UGAAAUGCUAUAGCAGGAAAGAAGUGGGAUGGAAUGGCAGGGCAGAGCAUGGCAAGCAAUAGAGUGGAAUGAGAGAACGAUAAUCACACAGAUACCCCUCUUAGUAAUUCAACUCCCCAGAACAGACUCCUUAAACCUAUGAAGAUUGCCUUGAGCAAAAAGUAGUUGCAUCAGAUCCAGCUAACAACUGUGCCACAGCUUAUUACAUGAGACUUGAAGUAAUGAUGUAAUCAACCAAACAGCAUGGGAAACAAACCAGUUCAACAACAAUAUUGCUCCUGCCGGUGAUGGCUGAAUGUUAGCACGGCCAGGAUAACAAGCAAUACAGCUGUUCCGUUGGUUUACUCAGUCAAGGACUGAGAGGGACAACAUAAGUCAGGAUGGUCAGCUUGGAAAUGCAGCUGCCUAAUCCAGCUCUCCUUGGGGAACGGUUCCAAUUAAUGACAGUGGGGCAUACUGUGAACCGAAAGACAAAGCAUGGCUUUCAGCUCUAGUCGAUGGAAUUUGGCUUGGUAGACUUUUCACGUGUGGGCUUCGCACUUACUUCAGCAGAACAUGGAAGCCUAGUUCUCUAUUUUCAGUCUCCUCAGCAUGGAACUUCCUCGGCAUUACUAAAAGGAGUUUGAGACUCCCUCUGCCCUCCACUAUCCCCAUGAGACAAACCAGAACAUGCUGUGCCAUGAUCUUUGGUCUCUCAAAGAUGCAGCCCGACACCUCACCUGAGGCAAGUGGAACCUCAUGGUUCACCAUUUUUCC